UAUUACAAGAGACGUCUCUUCCUCUGUCUCUUCUUCUCCAUCUCUACUGUCUCUCUAAUAUCUCUCUCUCCUUCUCUCAGUUGGAUUCUUGAACUCAUCUUCCCCUUCCACAACCAUGACUGAGUCUUGUAGAGAGAGGAGAAGUCUUCGAAGUUGAGACCGGCGUUUCCAGGCUGGAUGUAGGACUCGACGGUGGACUUGAGGUCGAGACGAGAGAGAGCUUGGCUUAGCUCCUCGAGGGUGAUGAAACCGUCGCCGUUGUGAUCAAUUGAUAUAGCUCUGAGAAAUUAGACAAAGUUUUGACAUUUUUUUGUUUAUAAACCAGUCAAGGCAUUCUUGCUUGUCUUGAUGGGUAUAUGAACAUAGCAAUGGAGCAGACAGAGGAGUAUGUCAACGGCAAGCUCAAGAACAAAUACGGUAAUGCCUUGGCGCUUAGAGAUGAGUACUUUGCUGUUGAUGAUGAUGAUGGAGCAGACAGAGGAGUACUUCGGAGUUUCUGUUCUUCAGACACCCAAGUGCUGAUAUGCUUCUUACGGAAGCUGAGCUUGACAAGAACUUAAUCCAAAAGGUGAGAUUUUGUCUCUGAGAUGAUCAUCAUCAUCAUCAGCUUGCCAAGAAACUAACAGCCGUUGACCUUGUUGCUAUUGGAGUUGGAACAACAAUUGGAGCAGGAGUGUAUAUUCUAGUGGGAACAGUAGCUAGACAACACACAGGACCUGCUCUUGCUGUAUCGUUCUUCAUCGCUGGAGUAGCAGCUGCUCUCUCCGCUUGUUGCUAUGCUGAGCUUGCUUCUUGUUGUCCAUCUUCUGGCAGUGCUUAUCAUUAUGCUUACAUCUUCUUGGAGAAGGGUAUGUACUAGAUAGGAUUCUAUUGUCAAGCAUUUUACUGAAACGAUGUUUAAGCUU